AACAAAAACAAAAACAAAAAAAGGAAGGUAAAAUUUAUUUUCUUCUCCUUCUCUUCCUCUGAAUCAAAACUCCAAACAUGUAAUUCAAUUCAUAUCACACAAAAUUUCUAGAGAGAGAAAGAGAGCAAGCUUUGCGUUCUCAAGCUCUGCAAUUCAAUGCUCUUCUCUUUCUAAAUAGAGUAUUUAUAGAGAGAGACAGAGAGACAGAGAGUAGACGUUAAUGGGUAGAGAACCAGGGAGAUCGAGGCCUCUUCACAACUUCGCCUUGCCCCGCUUGAAAUGGGGCAACCAGAGGUUCCUCAGAUGCAUGAAAAUCGACAAUUUGGGUUCCCAAUCGGACGGCUCCAAAACGAUCAAGCCCAGAUCUCCGUCGAAUGUACCGCCGAUUAUCGACGGUGUUGACGAUAGCAACGGAAUCGAGGCGGUCCGCGAGAAGCUCAUGUUCGAUCUCAGAGUCGCCGCCGAUGAGAUCAAGGACUCCAUUCUCGAAGAGAAGGAGCUCGAGGAUUCCAAUUCGGCGGCGCGGCCUUGGAAUUUGAGGACUCGGAGAGCGGCUUGCAAGGCCCCCAACGACUCCGGCGGCGGAGGAAAGGCGGCAACCGCAAUGACGAUGACAACGCAGCAGAUGCAGAUUGUUGUGGAGAAGAGAGAGAAGGAACCCAGAGCUAAGUUCUCGAUUUCGCUUUCUCGAGAAGAGAUUGAGAAAGAUUUUCUGGCGAUGGCUCGGAUUAGACCGCCUCGAAGGCCCAAGAAGAGACCUAAGAUAGUUCAGAGACAAAUAGAUGCAAUUUUUCCGGGUAUGUGGUUGACAGAAGUAACACCAGAUACAUACAAAGUUCCUGAAGAACCCGAACCAGGGAAGGGGUAGAGAUGAAGGGCUCGAUGAUUUAUAGGAGUUUCUGAUAUUCGGAUUGCUGACUGCUGGUGCAAUGUGACCUAAAUUAAUGAGGAAAUGGUGGGAGCCAUAUUAGUAUUAAAGAGUCCAUGAACCCACAAAUGGCCAAUAUCUGGUAAUACAGAUACUCAGAUCUUACUUGGGUUUUAUGAUUUCAUUUACAUUAUCAAAAGGCCAACCACAAUAUCUGUAGUUUGAAUUACCGUGGUCUCAAUUCCCUUCUUAAAUUCUUCAGUUCAAAAAUGUCAGCUUGUACACUACAUUUCAAAAGAGUGACAUACCCCAAUGUGCAUAUGGGUGAAUUUUGUGAUGCCUGAGUUUUGAGUCUUAUCACUGCUUCAUGAUGCAGUUCCUCCCUCUAUUUGGAAGGUGUCAUAAAUUAAUGUGGUGUAAUUAUGAAAGAGAACUAAUUAUGAUUUUUUAUAAUUCUUGUAAUCUUUUGUGGUGAAAAAAUUUAUAUCAUUUAGUGAUGUGAAAAUUUAUGUCAUUUUGUUAUUAAUAUUAUGAAUUUUUGUAGUGUAAGUACAAAAAAAAGACACCAUAUAUAUUAUUUUAAAGAUGUUUAUUGCAGCAUUUUCCUUUGUGAUGGCCGAUAAAAAAGAAUGUAUAACUUACAAAGCAUAUUGUGUAUAUGUAUGCAAAGGCAUUUAUCUUCACUGUUGCGAUGGAUGCAUCAAUAUUCAUGUAUUUUAUUUUUAUUUUACUUUUGGGUGUGAACAUUUGACAAAGUGAGGCAUCUUUUGUUCUCUCAGUUUCUUGGAGAAGGAGUGGCUCUGAUGAAUUAAGUAAAAAUCUCACAAUCAAAGAUACAUAUAAUAUGGCCAAACCCAAACCAAUGGACAAGCUUCCAUCAAAUAUUUGAUGAGUAUAUGCAUUGGCAUUGCUUUCAUUCCCUUUGUCCUCUUUUAUAUUUGAGAGACGUGAUUCCCCCAUCAUAUCUCUUUUCUUUUCUUUCUUUUUAUUUAUUUAUUUUAUUUCAUUUUUCUGAUAAAUAAAAAAACUAGCAUUCUGGGGCAGUUGGUUGUAUAUUAAUAUUGAAAUUGGAUUAUUUAAUUUCUUCGCAUGCAUUUUGGACCUUAAUUUUACUCUUCAGUCCUCCUCCUGGACCAUCAGAUUUGGUGUUAACUACUUGGGCCCCUAUUCCCAUUUCUCCUCCUCUUGUCUCAUAUUUGAUAUAUAUAAUUGCUGAGGUGUCAGUAUCAGCGUUUCCAUGAGCCAUAAGGUGGGUGUGUUGUGGUGUGGCGGCCAUCGUAUAUGCAUCUCAUGGUCUUAGUAUGCAUAUGUGUCUUCAACAAUAAUGGUUAUGUUUUGGUCGACAUUAGAUUGUAUCAGUUGAUAUAUAAGUCUCAAAUUCUGAUGCAUAUGAAUAGCUGAUAUAUAAAAUCUUGAUGCAUAAUAAGUUGCUUGAGCGCACUGUGUUGAUCAUCAUGCUGCGCACAGUGACACUGUGGAUGGCUGUCUUCCAACCUCCCAGAUUCAUACAUUUUUUGAUUCCACAAUCUGUUCCAACCCUUCCUUACUGGUCUGUCCAAAAUAAUUGCUAACAAAAAAAAAAAAA